rnacentral:rRNA from 1 species
UACGUAGGGUGCGAGCGUUAAUCGGAAUUACUGGGCGUAAAGUGUGCGCAGGCGGCGCCGCAAGUCGAGUGUGAAAGCCCCGGGCUUAACUUGGGAAUUGCGCUCGAAACUAUGGUGCUGGAGUGUGGCAGAGGAAGGUGGAAUUCCACGUGUAGCGGUGAAAUGCGUAGAGAUGUGGAGGAAUACCGAUGGCGAAGGCAGCCCCCUGGGUCAACACUGACGCUCAUGCACGAAAGCGUGGGGAGCAAACAGG